rnacentral:lncRNA from 1 species
UGACAUGUAUCCAAAAUAUUAAUGUGGGCCUAAUAUGGAUUAUGGAGUCGUGAAUGAGUUGGUCCUAUUAAAAAAAUAUUAAUUAAAUAGGUCGAGUUUGCAUGUAGAAUUCUUCUUACUUUAAUUUGAAAUUAUCUAUUUCAUUAGUUAAGUUGAAUUACUUAAAAACCUUAAAAGUUGAAAGAACAUUUAUGUAACAAGAACACAUUAAUUUCCUAAGAAACUUAUAUCCAAGUUUGUAGAUAACCAUGUACUAAUCAACUUGGCUCCUAAUCUCCCCUAUCUCCUCCAAUAAAUUGAUUCUUACCUAUUCUAUUUUUUUCCUAACAAUAACUUUCUUUCCAAUCAUUUACUUCGCGAUUACGAUUUCACUUCUACUAGUAGCACCUGGAGGAACAACAAGAAAUAAGAGAAUCUUCUCAUUAUUGAUCCUUAUCUUGCUCAAAUUCCUUGACAUAGGCCGGUAAUCAUGAAGUUUUAGGAUUCAGCUGCAUGGGGUUAACAUAGAUGCAUGUAAGCAAAUGAUUUCCCUAGUUUUGUUUGUGAAAGUAAUAGGUUAAAGAUUCGGCCC